CACCUGAAAUGAAAUAUUCCAGUAAUUACAUCACAUUCACCUCUUCGUUAAAAACAAAACUGUUUAUUACUGUUGAAAACAAACAAGUAACACAAAUACAAGACAUCUAACAACCUUUUUGAAUAAAAACCCCGAAAAAAUUGUCAACUUGUUAAUUUGCCGCGCUUUCGUGUCUUCUGUCAAAUCGACUAAACUUGUAUCGUUGUUCGUUAUAAAGUCUGUGAAAGUUACACAUCAGUUAUAUCCAUACACAUUUCGUAUUUCAAAGGUUCGCUCGUUCGGUCAGUGUAUCAACGCGCGUCCCCCGUGUUACAACGGAUGUAAACAAUCGAUGCCGAUGUAUACGCAGCAACAGCAAGUGUUCACGCAAAAUGGUUGCAGACAGUAGACAACCGAGCGCAAGCAAUAUAAUUGCCUUUGCUUUUGCCGAGAAUUGAAAACGGGACUCUCCAAUCGAUAUUACCUAAAGAAUGAAUAUCAUUGGUUCAAUUCGUAUUAAGAAAAAUUCCCGCCGUAAUGUAUGUAGCUCGUGCUAAAAUGCAUUUCGCGUGAUUACAACGAGACAUUAACUCAUUUUUUAACGAUCAUAAAUGAUAACACACGUUGAUCUAUAUAAACUGACUUGCUAAAGAAAUUGAUGGAAUAUUUCUAAAUCGAUUGGAGAAAAGUAUUAAAACAGAGAAAGGAUGUCUUUUUAAGUACAUGCAUACAUACAUACCAUACAUACAUACAUACAAUAGGUUAUAAUGUUCAACAUUUAUUUCAUUGAAUAAAGAAUGAAGGAUACAUUUUUAUAACUACAGUAAGAUUUUAGUAGAAGAAUUUAUGGGACAGGUAUACAAACCAAAAAACAUAAAACAUGUUGCAGUAACAAUAUUUUAACUUUUUAUAAGGCUUUAGAAACUAUUUUUGAGUUAAAAUAUAUGGCUAAUCAAACAAGGAUGGAAUAUUAAAUUUGAUAAAUGCAGG